GAUGAACGCUGGCGGCGUGCCUAAUACAUGCAAGUCGAGCGAACGGACGAGAAGCUUGCUUCUCUGAUGUUAGCGGCGGACGGGUGAGUAACACGUGGAUAACCUACCUAUAAGACUGGGAUAACUUCGGGAAACCGGAGCUAAUACCGGAUAAUAUUUUGAACCGCAUGGUUCAAAAGUGAAAGACGGUCUUGCUGUCACUUAUAGAUGGAUCCGCGCUGCAUUAGCUAGUUGGUAAGGUAAAGGCUUACCAAGGCAACGAUGCAUAGCCGACCUGAAGGAGGGGUCGGCCACACGGGAACGUAGACGCGCUCCAGGCUCCUACGGGAGGCAGCAGUAGGGAAUCUUCCGCAAUGGGCGAAAGCCUGACGGAGCAACGCCGCGUGAGUGAUGAAGGUCUUCGGAUCGUAAAACUCUGUUAUUAGGGAAGAACAUAUGUGUAAGUAACUGUGCACAUCUUGACGGUACCUAAUCAGAAAGCCACGGCUAACUACGUG
rnacentral:rRNA from 1 species